CACCUUUUAGAUAUCUAGCAUGAAAUUUACCUUGUAAACAGGGCCGAAGCCUCCUUCUCCGAUCAUGCUUUCCUCGGAGAAGUUGUGCGUUGCAGCUGCAAUUGUCGCGAAACUGAAUAGAGGUGAAAUCUCCCGGAGAAGGAUCAUCGGAGCUCCUCCACGACGUCAAAUACUUAUCCUGCCCCGCGUCGAGGCUCUGCACCAUGUACAUCCCCGGCAACCUCGUGUCACUCGGGUAAUCAAAACUCUGCCAUAUGUAGCUUCCCUCCGAAGAGUCAGCCUCCACCGCCGUGUCCGCGAGGACGAGGUUGCCGGUGUCCAAGAGCCGUAAGCUCGGAUUUCUUGCUGCCACCCUCGAUGAAUUCGACGACCACUGUAUGCUUCCAUCUCUGCUUAUGACUAAUGCGCCAUUUCUUGUCACUUGUAAGUUUAUCAUCAUCACUCCUUGUGAAUCUAUGACGGGAUCGUUCCGGUUCGCAACCCAAACAACGACAUCCGGUUUCUUCGUGUACCAAAUCCCCAAGAACCUGUUCUUGGACGAGCUGGGGGAGAAGAAGCCGAGCUCGAAAUCCCGGUUUCGCGAGAUCAAAGUCUGGCCGUUGGAUAACGUCCCGUUGGCCGGAAGUGUGUCGUUUCCGGCUGAUGAGAAGACAAACCCACAAAAAGCAAUAGCUAAGAGGAAGUUAGGCAUUUCUUUCUGACACCUUAAACUUAGACGAAUUGAUGAUGGUGGUAAAGUACCAAUAUAGCUUUAGAGAUGUCUCUGUCCAAACUAAAGUCGUGGCUGCUGGAAACAGUAAAUUGUUGAGAGUUCUACAACACUACGGAUGCAUCGUGUCCAAAAAGAUGGUUUUAAUUUUUACAA